AGGGAAUCUUCCGCAAUGGACGAAAGUCUGACGGAGCAACGCCGCGUGAGUGAAGAAGGUCUUCGGAUCGUAAAACUCUGUUGUUAGGGAAGAACAAGUAUCGGAGGAAAUGCCGGUACCUUGACGGUACCUAUCGAGAAAGCCACGGCUAACUACGUGCCAGCAGCCGCGGUAAUACGUAGGUGGCAAGCGUUGUCCGGAAUUAUUGGGCGUAAAGCGCGCGCAGGCGGUUCUUUAAGUCUGAUGUGAAAUCUUGCGGCUCAACCGCAAGCGGUCAUUGGAAACUGGGGAACUUGAGUGCAGAAGAGGAGAGCGGAAUUCCACGUGUAGCGGUGAAAUGCGUAGAGAUGUGGAGGAACACCAGUGGCGAAGGCGGCUUUCUGGUCUGUAACUGACGCUGAGGCGCGAAAGCGUGGGGAGCAAAC
rnacentral:rRNA from 1 species